AGUGAACGCUGGCGGUAGGCCUAACACAUGCAAGUCGAACGGCAGCACAGUAAGAGCUUGCUCUUAUGGGUGGCGAGUGGCGGACGGGUGAGGAAUACAUCGGAAUCUACCUUUUCGUGGAGGAUAACGUAGGGAAACUUACGCUAAUACCGCAUACGACCUUCGGUGAAAGCAGGGGACCUUCGGGCCUUGCGCGGAUA
rnacentral:rRNA from 1 species